rnacentral:sRNA from 1 species
AGAAGAGAAGGAGACAAAGUAUGGGCAAUUCUUUGGUGGUGAUUUGCUAUAAAAAAGGAGUAGAUAUAUGGAUCUGUAAUUGAUGGUAGGCUUGGGUCAAGGAAUGUUUUGUAUGUUUAUUUUAAGAUUAAAGAUACUACAGCAUGUUUGUUUGAGAUCCAGAAGAGAGGGAAAUUUUGAUGAUCCAGGAAAGAGGAACAAUAUUGAACAACAGAAUCCUUGUCUGAGCAGGUGAAAGGGGUCUGGGUAGAGAGUCCAAAGGGAAUAGGGGUUGGAAGAGCAGGAGCAGAUGCUGGCAGGACACAGACAUUCUUAUGAUAAUCCUGAGAAAUAGGUAGGGCUUGAGUCAUUAUCUUUAUUUCAGAGAUGAUAAAACUAAGAUUCAGCUAAAUGAUUUGCUUAAGGCCUCACAAAUACAAGUAAGCAGCGUUCAGAUUCCUAGUCUUCUGACUCCAAGUCUUGGGCUACUGAUACUACACCAAGGUUUCCAUAUAUCCUUCAUUUUUUAGUGUGACUGAGAUUGAUUCAGACCUGGACUUGGGACCCAGAGCCUGGGAUUCUUGUUCUUGCACUGUCACUGGACUCUGGGUGGUGUGCAACUUCUCUAAGCCCCUGAUAUCUUGUUUCUAAGAUGGAAACACUAAUUAACUGUCAAUCAGGGUGGUGAUUCCAAUGAAGCAACUGCCAAACCAAAGAGAAGUUUUUAUGCUGCCAGGGAUUUGUACAAGUACCGACACCAGUACCCAAACUUCAAAGAUAUCCGAUAUCAAAAUGACUUGAGCAAUCUUCGUUUUUAUAAGAAUAAAAUUCCAUUCAAGCCAGAUGG